UACGUAGGGUGCAAGCGUUGUCCGGAAUUAUUGGGCGUAAAGAGCUCGUAGGCGGUCUGUCGCGUCUGCUGUGAAAACUCAGGGCUUAACCCUGAGCUUGCAGUGGGUACGGGCAGACUAGAGUGCGGUAGGGGGAGACUGGAAUUCCUGGUGUAGCGGUGAAAUGCGCAGAUAUCAGGAGGAACACCGGUGGCGAAGGCGGGGUCUCUGGGCCGUAACUGACGCUGGAGGAGCGGAAAGCAUGGGGAGCGAACAGG
rnacentral:rRNA from 1 species